rnacentral:rRNA from 1 species
UACGGAGGGGGCUAGCGUUGUUCGGAAUUACUGGGCGUAAAGCGCACGUAGGCGGCUUUUGUAAGUUAGAGGUGAAAGUCCAGGGGCUUAACCCUGGAAUUGCCUUUAAGACUGCAUCGCUAGAAUCGUGGAGAGGUGAGUGGAAUUCCGAGUGUAGAGGUGAAAUUCGUAGAUAUUCGGAAGAACACCAGUGGCGAAGGCGACUCACUGGACACGUAUUGACGCUGAGGUGCGAAAGCGUGGGGAGCAAACAGG